UACAGAGGGUGCGAGCGUUGUCCGGAAUCACUGGGCGUAAAGGGCUCGUAGGCGGCCUGCUAAGUAGAGGGUGAAAUCCUGCGGCUCAACCGCAGGGCUGCCUUCUAAACUGUCAGGCUGGAGCACGGUAGAGGCAGAUGGAAUUCCCGGUGUAGCGGUGGAAUGCGUAGAGAUCGGGAAGAACACCAGUGGCGAAGGCGGUCUGCUGGGCCGUUGCUGACGCUGAGGCGCGACAGCGUGGGGAGCAAACAGG
rnacentral:rRNA from 1 species